UACGAAGGGGGCUAGCGUUGUUCGGAAUUACUGGGCGUAAAGCGCGCGCAGGCGGCCUUUCAAGUCAGGGGUGAAAGCCCGGAGCUCAACUCCGGAAUUGCCUUUGAAACUGUCAGGCUCGAGUACGGGAGAGGUGAGUGGAAUUCCCAGUGUAGAGGUGAAAUUCGUAGAUAUUCGGAAGAACACCAGUGGCGAAGGCGACUCACUGGACACGUAUUGACGCUGAGGUGCGAAAGCGUGGGGAGCAAACAGG
rnacentral:rRNA from 1 species